rnacentral:rRNA from 1 species
CAGUAGCCACGGUAAAACGAAGGGGGCUAGCGUUGCUCGGAAUGACUGGGCGUAAAGGGCGCGUAGGCGGAUUGUUUAGUUAGGCGUGAAAUUCCUGGGCUUAACCUGGGGACUGCGCUUAAUACAGGCAGUCUAGAGUGAGGAAGAGGGUUGUGGAAUUCCCAGUGUAGAGGUGAAAUUCGUAGAUAUUGGGAAGAACACCGGUGGCGAAGGCGGCAACCUGGUCCUUGACUGACGCUGAGGCGCGAAAGCGUGGGGAGCAAACAGGAUUAGAUACCCCUGUAGUCCCUGUCUCUUAUAC